rnacentral:rRNA from 1 species
UACAGAGGUCUCAAGCGUUGUUCGGAAUUACUGGGCGUAAGGGGUGCGCAGGCCGCGCGGGCAGUCAAAUGUGUAAUCCAGGGGCUCAACCCCUGAACUGCGCUUGAUACUUCCGCGCUCGAGCUUUGGAGAGGAGUCUGGAAUUCUCGGUGUAGCAGUGAAAUGCGUGGAUAUCGAGAAGAACACUUAGGGCGUAGGCAAGACUCUGGACAAAUGCUGACGCUCAUGCACGAAGGCUAGGGUAGCGAACGGG